AUUGAACGCUGGCGGCGUGCUUAACACAUGCAAGUCGAUCGGUAACGCGGGGGCAACCCUGGCGACGAGAGGCGGACGGGUGAGGAACGCUUGGGAAUCUGCCCUUCAGCGGGGGACAACACGGGGAAACUCGUGCUAAUACCGCAUACGCUCCACGGAGGAAAGCCGGGGACCGCAAGGCCUGGCACUGAAGGAUGAGCCCAAGUCGGAUUAGCUAGUUGGCGGGGUAACGGCCCACCAAGGCGACGAUCCGUAGCUGGUCUGAGAGGACGAUCAGCCACACUGGGACUGAGAAACGGCCCAGACUCCUACGGGAGGCAGCAGUGGGGAAUAUUGGACAAUGGGGGAAACCCUGAUCCAGCGACGCCGCGUGGGUGAAGAAGGCCUGCGGGUUGUAAAGCCCUUUCGGUAGGGACGAAAGCUCUCGACCUAACACGUCGGGAGGUUGACUUAACCUACAAAAGAAGCACCGGCUAACUCUGUGCCAGCCGCCGCCGUAA
rnacentral:rRNA from 1 species